GACGACGUAGCCUAGUGGAAGAGCGCAGGGCUAUGCCGUGAGGACGCUGGUUCAAAUCCGGUCGUCGCCA
rfam:Phytophthora infestans T30-4 supercont1.56 genomic scaffold, whole genome shotgun sequence.